UGUUUGUAAUGGAUGCCCUUUGGAACAUCUGGUUUCCAACAAUAUACUGUCCUCUCGGACUUCAUUUUUUUUUAAAAGAAGAUCCAUUAAUCUUCUU